rnacentral:rRNA from 1 species
AUUGAACGCUGGCGGCAGGCCUAAAACAUGCAAGUCGAACGAGUGGCGGACGGGUGAGUAAUGUCUGGGAAACUGCCUGAUGGAGGGGGAUAACUACUGGAAACGGUAGCUAAUACCGCAUACCAUCAGAUGUGCCCAGAUGGGAUUAGCUUGUUGGUGGGGUAACGGCUCACCAAGGCGACGAUCCCUAGCUGGUGUGAGAGGAUGACCAGCCACACGGGAACGGACAUACGUUCAAGACGCUUCAGGGAGGCAGCAGUGGGUAAUAUUGCACAAUGGGCGCAAGCCUGAUGCGGCCAUGCCGCGUGUAGGAAGAAGGCUGUCGGGUUGUAAAGUACUUUCAGCGGGGCGGCGUUACCUGCAGAAGAAGCACAGGCUAACUCCGUGCCAGCAGCCGCGGUAAUUC